rnacentral:rRNA from 1 species
CCUACGGGAGGCUGCAGUGGGGGAUAUUGCACAAUGGGGGGAACCCUGAUGCAGCGACGCCGCGUGGGUGAAGAAGCGCCUCGGCGCGUAAAGCCCUGUCAGCAGGGAAGAAAAUGACGGUACCUGAAGAAGAAGCCCCGGCUAACUCCGUACCAGCAGCCGCGGUACUACGUAGGGGGCAAGCGUUAUCCGGAUUUACUGGGUGGAAAGGGGGCGCAGACGGCGAUGCAAGCCAGGAGUGAAAGGCCGGGGCCAAAUCCCUGGACUGCUCUUGGAACUGUGUGGCUGGAGUGCAGGAGGGGCAGGCGGAAUUCCUGGUGUAGCGGUGAAAUGCGUAGAUAUCAGGAGGAACACCGGUGGCGAAGGCGGCCUGCUGGACUGCAACUGACGUUGAGGCCCGAAAGCGUGGGGAGCAAACAGGAUUAGAUACCCCUGUAGUC